AUCCUCAGCCUCACGUCUCCUAACAUCCUUGGCUGCUUUUACAGACGCUGUUUGGAAGCGGGGUGAAGGGACACAGGAUGCUCUCCUUUCUCACCUGGCCCUUAGGGUACCACAGACCUUUGGACACCUUUAGGCACCAACGUACGAUCAAUGGACCCUUCUCAUUGGAAAUAAGGUAUUUAAGAAGACAGGAGAUUAGUCCCAGGCCAAGAGAACUCAAGAAAUACAGGUCUGAAAGAUUGCACCAAGUUGUGAUGGAAUAA
rnacentral:lncRNA from 12 species